GGCCUAACACAUGCAAGUCGAGCGGUAAGGGCUUUCGGGGUACACGAGCGGCGAACGGGUGAGUAACACGUGGGUGAUCUGCCCUGCGCUUCGGGAUAAGCCUGGGAAACUGGGUCUAAUACCGGAUAUGACCUCCUAUCGCAUGGUGGGUGGUGGAAAGAUUUAUCGCUGCACGAUGGGCCCGCGGCCUAUCAGCUUGUUGGUGGGGUAAUGGCCUACCAGGGCGACUACGGCUACCCGACCUGAAAGGGUGACCGGCCACACUGGAACUGAGACCCGGCCCAAACUCCUACGGGAGGCAGAAUCGGGGAAUAUUGCACAAUGGGCAAACGCCUGAUGCGGCGACGCCGCGGGAGGGAUGACGGCCUUCGGGUUGUAAACCUCUUUCAGCAGGGACGAUCCGCGAGUGACGGUACCUGCAUAAAAACCACCGGCUAACUACAUGCCAGCAUCCGCGGAAAUACGUACGGUGCAAGCGGUGUCCGGAAUUACUGGGCGAAAAAAGUUCGUAAGCGGGUUGUCACGUCGUGUGUGAAAACCAACAGCUCAACUGCUGGCUUGCCGGAGAUACGGGCAGACUUGACUACUGCAGGGGAGACUGCAAUUCCUGCUGUAUCGAUGAACUGAGAAGAUAUCGGGAUGAACACCGGUGACGAAAG
rnacentral:rRNA from 1 species